UACGUAGGGGGCAAGCGUUGUCCGGAAUCAUUGGGCGUAAAGCGCGUGUAGGCGGCUCGAUAAGUCUGCUGUGAAAGUCCAGGGCUCAACCCUGGGAUGCCGGUGGAUACUGUCGAGCUCGAGUCCGGAAGAGGAGUGUGGAAUUCCUGGUGUAGCGGUGAAAUGCGCAGAUAUCAGGAAGAACACCCGUGGCGAAGGCGGCUCUCUGGGACGGUACUGACGCUGAGACGCGAAAGCGUGGGGAGCGAACAGG
rnacentral:rRNA from 1 species